UACGUAGGCAGCGAGCGUUGUUCGGAGUUACUGGGCGUAAAGCGUGCGUAGGCGGUGGUCCAAGUCUGGUGUGAAAUCUCCCGGCUUAACUGGGAGGGUGCGCCGGAAACUGGGCCGCUGGAGUACGGGAGAGGCAAGCGGAAUUCCAGGUGUAGCGGUGAAAUGCGUAGAUAUCUGGAGGAACACCCGCGGUGCAGACGGCUUGCUGGACCGUGACUGACGCUGAGGCACGAAAGCCAGGGGAGCAAACGGG
rnacentral:rRNA from 1 species